GGUGGUUUAGUGUGUUCUUAGGUUUCUAAUGUUGCAUGACAGACUUUAUGAGAAGUCGUGUCCAUUGAAGAAAAAGGACUGACUCACAGUCAAGGUGACCCGUUGGCUGCUACCCUUGAAUAUCCCCUUUUACUUCAUGAAAGUGAUAACGGGCCAUCUUGAUUUGAGGGUAAGUCCUUCGCUUCUUAUCAUGGGCUUCAUCCAUUGGUGAAAACCAAUGACAACCAGGAGGAAAAGAGUGCGCUGGUCGAACGGGAACUUGCAAGCU